rnacentral:rRNA from 1 species
UUCUAGCGGAACGAGUUUUCUGAACCUUCGGGUAAAAAAAUCGGCGUCGACCGGCGGACGGGUGAGUAAUGCCUGGGAAAUUGCCCUGAUGUGGGGGAUAACCAUUGGAAACGAUGGCUAAUACCGCAUAAUAGCUUCGGCUCAAAGAGGGGGACCUUCGGGCCUCUCGCGUCAGGAUAUGCCCAGGUGGGAUUAGCUAGUUGGUGAGGUAAGGGCUCACCAAGGCAACGAUCCCUAGCUGGUCUGAGAGGAUGAUCAGCCACACUGGAACUGAGACACGGUCCACACUCCUACGGGAGGCAGCAGUGGGGAAUAUUGCACAAUGGGCGCAAGCCUGAUGCAGCCAUGCCGCGUGUAUGAAGAAGGCCUUCGGGUUGUAAAGUACUUUCAGCAGUGAGGAAGGUUCAUACGUUAAUAGCGUAUGGAUUUGACGUUAGCUGCAGAAGAAGCACCGGCUAACUCCGUGCCAGCAGCCGCGGUAAUACGGAGGGUGCGAGCGUUAAUCGGAAUUACUGGGCGUAAAGCGCAUGCAGGUGGUUUGUUAAGUCAGAUGUGAAAGCCCGGGGCUCAACCUCGGAAUUGCAUUUGAAACUGGCAGACUAGAGUACUGUAGAGGGGGGUAGAAUUUCAGGUGUAGCGGUGAAAUGCCUAGAGAUCUGAAGGAGUACCGGUGGCGAAUGCGGCCCCCUGGACAGAUACUGACACUCAGAUGCGAAAGCGUGGGGAGCACACAGGAUUAGAUACUCUGGUAGUCCACGCCGUAAACGAUGUCUACUUGGAGGUUGUGGCCCUUGAGCCGUGGCUUUCGGAGCUAACGCGUUAAGUAGACCGCCUGGGGAGUACGCUCGCAUUAUUCAAACUCAAAUGAAUAGACGCGGGCCCGCACUAGCGUGCAGCAUGUCGUAUAAUUCGAUGCAACGCUGAGAUCUUACUACUCUGACAUC